CCGUGAGGGUUGGGUUAAGUCCCGCAACGAGCGCAACCCCUAUUGUUAGUUGCCAUCACAUAAUGGUGGGCACUCUAAUGAGACUGCCCGGGUCAACCGGGAGGAAGGUGGGGACGACGUCAAGUCAUCAUGGCCCUUACGCCUAGGGCUACACACGUACUACAAUGGUGCAUACAAAGGGUUGCGAAACCGCGAGGUCAAGCCAAUCCCAAAAAAUGCAUCCCAGUCCGGAUCGGAGUCUGCAACUCGACUCCGUGAAGUUGGAAUCGCUAGUAAUCCCGGAUCAGCAUGCCGGGGUGAAUACGUUCCCGGGCCUUGUACACACCGCCCGUCACACCACGAAAGCUGGUUCUACCCGACAACGGCGGACUAACCCUUCGGGAGGUAGUCGUCUACGGUAGGGCUGGUGAUUGGGGUGAAGUCGUAACAAGGUAACA
rnacentral:rRNA from 1 species